UUCUAUUGGAAGGUCAAUCUUAAAUGCUGUAUAGGAGGAUCUCAUUGAGAAGAUAUCAUUUGAGCAAAGAUGUAAAGCAAGGGAGGGAAUGAGUCAGUGGCUACAUAGGGAGAGUGUCCUAGGCAGAGGAAACAGCUUCUACAAAAGCCCUGAAGCAAGAGAAUGUUUGAAGUGUUCGAGAAUAACAGGAGAUGCAGAAUGAAUGGAAUUGAGAGUGAGUGAGGCAGUCGGAUACAAGAGAGACUAAUAUGGGGCAGCACUGAAGACUGCUGACAGCAGCCACAUGAGUGAGCUCAGAGUGGACACAACAGCCCCUUCAGAGGCUGCAGCGAUGGCAGACAGCCUGACUGCAAUGUCAUGAAAGAUGCUGAGGCAGAACCAUGCAGCAAAGUCAUUCCCAGAUUCCUGACUCUCAGAAAAUGUUGUUACUUUAGAGAAGUCUGAACUUGCCCUUUUUUUCAUCUUCAUGCCUGAGGAAAUUUUUCUUUAUCAUCAAAGAACUCUGAGAAUUGAUGGGCACUGUGUUAGAGCAAGUGGGAAGUAUAGACACAGCUUCCCAUGUUAAGCACGAGCAAGAAGAAAAUAAUUUGAAUGGAAACUAUUCAAAUAUAUCACAGUGAUCAAAGAUUUAAAAGUGGAUGAAAAGAGACAGCUCAAGAACCCAAUUCAGAAGACAGCAUAGCUCAAGGAGGUUUCUUGGGAGCCAUCAUUAAGGUGAAGAACAGAGAAGGCAUCCUAGCACCAGAGUUCCAGCCCAGGCUUCCUGGUAUCAACAUCAUCCAAGGUGACUUUCUGGAAUAAAAGAGGAAUGUGAGAACAUCUGGUAGGGGACGGCUCAAUAAAGAAAAAGUACAGGGAAUACCCAGCAGCCAAUCUGAAACUGCCAUUCAUAAAGAACUCAUCACAUAGGGAAAAGGCAUAUGGAGUUAUUAAGAAAAAGAACAGAAAGAGUGGGUAAGUUGAGAAUAAUUAAUAUGAGCAUAUUAUGGAUACUGUGGUGCAGUCACAGUAAUGAAAUACUUAAAAUCAAGGUGAACACACCAAUACUACUGACUGGAGGACUUGUGCAAGUUAAAAACUUGAAAAUGGAGGAAAAUUAGUUUUAAAAAUGAUAAAGUACACACAGAAGAGAAUGUGGAGCUAUUUCAAACGUUGUCAUGGAAGAACGUCAGUCAAGACUUAAAUUGGACUUGAUAUGUGACUUUGAACAAGGUCACUAGUUUCCCUGGGCCUCAGUUUCCCUACUUGUAAAGACAAGAGCUGGGCUCCAUAAUCUCUCAGCACCCUUCCAUGAUCUUUAAUUUUUCAUGAUCCCAACAGAAUCAUUGCCACCUUUUGUUUACUUGCAGAUAAUUUCAUUUGUAAUAAAAUUACUAAUACUGUGAA